rnacentral:tRNA from 1 species
CGUUAGCUCAGUUGGUAGAGCAGCGGACUCUUAAUCCGCGGGUCGUAGGUUCGAGCCCUACACGG